rnacentral:rRNA from 1 species
UGAACGCUGGCGGCGUGCCUAAUACAUGCAAGUCGAGCGAACAGAUGAGGAGCUUGCUCCUCUGACGUUAGCGGCGGACGGGUGAGUAACACGUGGAUAACCUACCUAUAAGACUGGGAUAACUUCGGGAAACCGGAGCUAAUACCGGAUAAUAUAUUGAACCGCAUGGUUCAAUAGUGAAAGACGGUUUUGCUGUCACUUAUAGAUGGAUCCGCGCCGCAUUAGCUGGUUGGUAAGGUAACGGCUUACCAAGGCAACGAUGCGUAGCCGACCUGAGAGGGUGAUCGGCCACACUGGAACUGAGACACGGUCCAGACUCCUACGGGAGGCAGCAGUAGGGAAUCUUCCGCAAUGGGCGAAAGCCUGACGGAGCAACGCCGCGUGAGUGAUGAAGGUCUUCGGAUCGUAAAACUCUGUUAUUAGGGAAGAACAAAUGUGUAAGUAACUAUGCACGUCUUGACGGUACCUAAUCAGAAAGCCACGGCUAACUACGUG